CUGACUUUCCAUGGGGAAGGGGACAUUUAGGGAGAGGGAACAGGUGAGGAGUUCCAGUGUCUUGCUGGUGUAUUUUAAUUUAUUUAAAUGUAGGGAAACAGCAGUCUAAUCAGACAGUAAUUAAUUCCCUCUUCAUUAGGGGCCUUCAUGUGUGCCUUCUGCAUAUGGAUGAGCCACAGGGUCACGCUGUCCCUCUGAAGAGACAGUUGCUGAAGGCAGAACCAGGGGACUCAAGUAUCUUGCAAAGGCUUUAUUUGUGAAAAUUUGAAACUUACAUCCCACAAGAAUUCAAGAUUAUCACCACAAGAAGAAGAAAGAGAUAAUACAAAAAUAUAUAUCACAGCAUAGGAACCAG
rnacentral:lncRNA from 1 species